CCUUAAACCCUGCCUCAGUUGGGAUCGAGGGCUGUAACUCGCCCUCGUGAACAUGGAAUCCCUAGUAAUCGCGCGUCAUCAACGCGCGGUGAAUACGUCCCCGCUCCUUGCACACACCGCCCGUCGCUCCACCCAAGUGAGGCCUAGAUGAGGCGUAGUCUUUUGGCUGCGUCGAAUCUAGGUUUCGCGAGGGGGGAGAAGUCGUAACAAGGUGGCCGUAGGGGAACCUGCGGCCGGAUCACCUCCU
rnacentral:rRNA from 1 species